rnacentral:lncRNA from 1 species
UAGUGGCAACCUAGUAGAAUCAAAAAUGAACCUCAAGGUGUAGUUAAUAUGUGAUUCAGACACUCUAUCGUGAGUCCCGACUAGAUGGCUAGUUAUGGAUAAAUCGUCAAAUCUCAUCAUCAGUCAUAUAAUAGAUUCGAUCAGCUCAAAUUUAAUUGUGAUCCUUAUAAAAAUUUAAUUGUGAUCCUUAUAAAAAUUCUCAGACUUGAUCUCUCAAAUCUUAUAGGACUACUCCUUUCUAUCA